rnacentral:rRNA from 1 species
CGCGUAAGUAAUCUACCCUUGCAUCUGGGAUAACUACGGGAAGCUGUAGCUAAUACCGGAUACGUUCUCCUUUCUACGGAUUGGAGAAGAAAGAUGGCCUCUUCUUGAAAGCUAUCGUGCAGGGAGGAGCUUGCGUACCAUUAGCUAGUUGGUAGGGUAAUGGCCUACCAAGGCAACGAUGGUUAGCGGGUCUGAGAGGAUGAUCCGCCACACUGGAACUGGAACACGGACCAGACUCCUACGGGAGGCAGCAGUGAGGAAUAUUGCGCAAUGGGGGAAACCCUGACGCAGCGACGCCGCGUGGAUGAUGAAGGCCUUAGGGUCGUAAAAUCCUGUCAGAUGGGAAGAAAUGCAUAUAGCUUAAUACGUUAUGUGUUUGACGGUACCAU